rnacentral:rRNA from 1 species
ACGGGAGGCAGCAGUGGGGAAUAUUGGGCAAUGGGCGCAAGCCUGACCCAGCAACGCCGCGUGAAGGAAGAAGGCUUUCGGGUUGUAAACUUCUUUUGCAAGGGACGAGACGAAGACGGUACCUUGUGAAUAAGCCACGGCUAACUACGUGCCAGCAGCCGCGGUAAUACGUAGGUGGCAAGCGUUGUCCGGAUUUACUGGGUGUAAAGGGAGCGCAGGCGGGAAAUCAAGUUGGAUGUGAAAUGUCGGGGCUUAACCCCGGAACUGCAUCCAAAACUGAUUUUCUUGAGUGAAGUAGAGGUAGGCGGAAUUCCGAGUGUAGCGGUGAAAUGCGUAGAUAUUCGGAGGAACACCAGUGGCGAAGGCGGCCUACUGGGCUUUAACUGACGCUGAGGCUCGAAAGUGUGGGGAGCAAACAGGAUUAGAUACCCUGGUA